rnacentral:rRNA from 2 species
CAGAUGGGAGCUUGCUCCCUGAAGUCAGCGGCGGACGGGUGAGUAACACGUGGGCAACCUGCCUGUAAGACUGGGAUAACUCCGGGAAACCGGGGCUAAUACCGGAUAAUUCUUUCCCUCACAUGAGGGAAAGCUGAAAGAUGGUUUCGGCUAUCACUUACAGAUGGGCCCGCGGCGCAUUAGCUAGUUGGUGAGGUAACGGCUCACCAAGGCAACGAUGCGUAGCCGACCUGAGAGGGUGAUCGGCCACACUGGGACUGAGACACGGCCCAGACUCCUACGGGAGGCAGCAGUAGGGAAUCUUCCGCAAUGGACGAAAGUCUGACGGAGCAACGCCGCGUGAGUGAUGAAGGUUUUCGGAUCGUAAAACUCUGUUGUUAGGGAAGAACAAGUACCGGAGUAACUGCCGGUACCUUGACGGUACCUAACCAGAAAGCCACGGCUAACUACGUGCCAGCAGCCGCGGUAAUACGUAGGUGGCAAGCGUUGUCCGGAAUUAUUGGGCGUAAAGCGCGCGCAGGCGGUUCCUUAAGUCUGAUGUGAAAGCCCCCGGCUCAACCGGGGAGGGUCAUUGGAAACUGGGGAACUUGAGUGCAGAAGAGAAGAGUGGAAUUCCACGUGUAGCGGUGAAAUGCGUAGAGAUGUGGAGGAACACCAGUGGCGAAGGCGACUCUUUGGUCUGUAACUGACGCUGAGGCGCGAAAGCGUGGGGAGCAAACAGGAUUAGAUACCCUGGUAGUCCACGCCGUAAACGAUGAGUGCUAAGUGUUAGAGGGUUUCCGCCCUUUAGUGCUGCAGCAAACGCAUUAAGCACUCCGCCUGGGGAGUACGGCCGCAAGGGCUGAAACUCAAAGGAAAUUGA